rnacentral:tRNA from 1 species
AAUGUGGUGCCUGACAAAAGGAUAGUUUUGAUAGAACUAAUUAUGUAUAACAAUACCCAUGUUG